GACGGACGCUGGCGGCGUGCUUAACACAUGCAAGUCGAGCGGUAAGGCCCUUCGGGGUACACGAGCGGCGAACGGGUGAGUAACACGUGGGUGACCUGCCUCUAGCUCUGGGAUAAGCCUGGGAAACUGGGUCUAAUACCGGAUAUGACUCCACGGCGCAUGUUGUGGGGUGGAAAGCCUUGUGUGGCUAGAGAUGGGCCCGCGGCCUAUCAGCUUGUUGGUGGGGUGAUGGCCUACCAAGGCGACGACGGGUAGCCGGCCUGAGAGGGCGACCGGCCACACUGGGACUGAGACACGGCCCAGACUCCUACGGGAGGCAGCAGUGGGGAAUCUUGCGCAAUGGGCGAAAGCCUGACGCAGCGACGCCGCGUGAGGGAUGACGGCCU
rnacentral:rRNA from 1 species